UAUACAACUCUGACAUCUAUUAUAAUGGAUAUAUUUUGUGAUUUGAAGUUACUGAUAUGUGCUCUCGUGUAAUAUUAUGGUCUAAUAUUUUUUGUUUUGUCUCUUUCUCUAUUGCUAGGAAAGUGGUGAGAAGAUGUCGAGGAUGCCUACUUGGGAUAUUCAAAUAACCACAAUAUAAAAAUUUCUGAACCUAUGUCUCAUAGGAGAGUGGAAUGAACUCCAUUGUUAGCAGAUGUGCCACUGUUCUAUUGUGCAAUUCUGUCCGUUCUUGCUAUAUUCCCGUG
rnacentral:lncRNA from 1 species